rnacentral:rRNA from 1 species
CUACGGGAUGCAGCAGUGGGGAAUAUUGGACAAUGGAGGAAACUCUGAUCCAGCAAUUCCGCGUGGAUGAAGAAGGCUUUCGGGUUGUAAAGUCCUUUCAGCAGGGAAGAAGCAAGUGACGGUACCUGCAGAAGAAGCACCGGCUAAUUACGUGCCAGCAGCCGCGGUAAGACGUAAGGUGCAAGCGUUAUCCGGAUUUACUGGGCUUAAAGGGCAUCUAGGCGGCUAAAUAAGUCAGAGGUGAAAAGUCUGGGCUCAACCGAGGCCUUGCCUUUGAAACUGUUUAGCUAGAGUACGGGAGAGGAGGGCGGAACUACAAGUGUAGCGGUGAAAUGCGUAGAUAUUUGUAGGAAUGCCGAUGACGAAGGUAGCUCUCUGGACCGCUACUGACGCUGAAGUGCGAAAGCUAGGGGAGCGAACAGGAUUAGAUACCCUGGUAGUC